rnacentral:miRNA from 1 species
UUCCCCGACGGCCGAGCGGGCC